rnacentral:rRNA from 1 species
UACGUAGGGCGCAAGCGUUGUCCGGAUUUAUUGGGCGUAAAGAGCUCGUAGGCGGUUUGUCGCGUCUUCCGUGAAAACUCGGAGCUUAACUCCGAGCCUGCUUCCGAUACGGGCAGACUAGAGGUAGGCAGGGGAGAGCGGAACUCCUGGUGUAGCGGUGGAAUGCGCAGAUAUCAGGAAGAACACCGGUGGCGAAGGCGGCUCUCUGGGCCUUACCUGACGCUGAGGAGCGAAAGCGUGGGUAGCGAACAGG